rnacentral:rRNA from 1 species
GCGAACGCUGGCGGCGUGCCUAACACAUGCAAGUCGCACGUGAAAGGGGGGUAACCCCCGAGUAAAGUGGCGCACGGGUGAGUAACACGUAGGUAAUCUCCCUCAAAGCCUGGAAUAACCUGCCGAAAGGCGGGCUAAUACUGGAUAGAGCGACGAGAGACUUCAAGUCUCUUUCGGGAAAGGGUGCCCUUAAAAGCACUCACUUUGAGAUGAGCCUGCGUCCCAUUAGCUAGUUGGUGAGGUAACGGCUCACCAAGGCGAUGAUGGGUAGCUGGUCUGAGAGGAUGAUCAGCCACACUGGAACUGAAACACGGUCCAGACUCCUACGGGAGGCAGCAGUGGGGAAUCUUGCGCAAUGGGCGAAAGCCUGACGCAGCCACGCCGCGUGAGUGAAGAAGGCCUUCGGGUUGUAAA